rnacentral:rRNA from 1 species
CCUACGGGAGGCAGCAGUGAGGAAUAUUGGUCAAUGGGCGUAAGCCUGAACCAGCCAAGUCGCGUGAGGGAUGAAGGUUCUAUGGAUCGUAAACCUCUUUUAUAAGGGAAUAAAGUGUGGGACGUGUCCUGUUUUGUAUGUACCUUAUGAAUAAGGAUCGGCUAACUCCGUGCCAGCAGCCGCGGUAAUACGGAGGAUCCGAGCGUUAUCCGGAUUUAUUGGGUUUAAAGGGGGCGUAGGCGGCCUGUUAAGUCAGCGGUGAAAGUCCGUGGCUCAACCAUAGAAUUGCCGUUGAAACUGGGAGGCUUGAGUAUGUUUGAGGCAGGCGGAAUGCGUGGUGUAGCGGUGAAAUGCUUAGAUAUCACGCAGAACCCCGAUUGCGAAGGCAGCCUGCCAAGCCAUGACUGACGCUGAUGCACGAAAGCGUGGGGAUCAAACAGGAUUAGAUACCCGAGUAGUC